GAUGAAGAACGUAGCGAAAUGCGAUAAGUAAUGUGAAUUGCAGAAUUCAGUGAAUCAUCGAAUCUUUGAACGCACAUUGCGCCCGCCAGUAUUCUGGCGGGCAUGCCUGUUCGAGCGUCAUUACAACCCUCAGGCCCCCGGGCCUGGCGUUGGGGAUCGGCGGAAGCCCCCUGCGGGCACAACGCCGUCCCCCAAAUACAGUGGCGGUCCCGCCGCAGCUUCCAUUGCGUAGUAGCUAACACCUCGCAACUGGAGAGCGGCGCGGCCACGCCGUAAAACACCCAACUUCUGAAUGUUGACCUCGAAUCAGGCAGGAAUACCCGCUGAACUUAAGCAUAUCAAUAAGCGGAGGA
rnacentral:misc_RNA from 1 species